rnacentral:rRNA from 1 species
GACGAACGCUGGCGGCGUGCCUAAUACAUGCAAGUCGAACGCACAGUUUAUACCGUAGCUUGCUACACCAUAGACUGUGAGUUGCGAACGGGUGAGUAACGCGUAGGUAACCUGCCUGGUAGCGGGGGAUAACUAUUGGAAACGAUAGCUAAUACCGCAUAAUAUUAAUUAUUGCAUGAUAAUUAAUUGAAAGGUGCAAUUGCACCACUACCAGAUGGACCUGCGUUGUAUUAGCUAGUAGGUGAGGUAACGGCUCACCUAGGCGACGAUACAUAGCCGACCUGAGAGGGUGAUCGGCCACACUGGGACUGAGACACGGCCCAGACUCCUACGGGAGGCAGCAGUAGGGAAUCUUCGGCAAUGGACGAAAGUCUGACCGAGCAACGCCGCGGGAGUGAAGAAGGGUUUCGGAUCGUAAAGCUCUGUUGUAAGAGAAGAAAGGGUGUGAGAGUGGAAAGUUCACACUGUGACGGUAUCUUACCAGAAAGGGACGGCUAACUACGUG